rnacentral:lncRNA from 1 species
UGCAAGAGGUUUAGACAUCCUUUGUUCAAAGCCUUUGGAGUCCCACUUAAGUGAAAACUCUGAUGCUAUGUCUUUCAUCAACUGAACCUUCUUCUCAAUUCUGGGAGGUUGGGAAGCUAUAUUCUCAACAAACUAUUAAGUAGAAAUUCAGUUAGUCAGCUGAAUAAUAACAAAAAAGAAAAAAGAAAAAGAUAAUGCACUGAAGAGACGCAUCUUUCAAUCAAGUAGAAGGAAACGAACAUAACAUGAAUAAUAAACGAAAACCCUUGGACACAGAAAUGGACUUCAAGCGACCAAAAUCAAACCUUACAAAAAACAAAGUAGUAUUUAUAAGAUCAAAUGCAAAAUCCACCAGACAAUGUAAAUUUAAUGACAACCCACUGAAAGUUAAACUUUGCCUACAGAACACUCAUUCAAUCACAUUGCACUCAACAUCAGAACACAAUAAUAAUAAACUAGAAAACGAAAAACACUAACAAAAUCAAAUUUAACACCACAAACACAUAUUUCAAUGCCCACGAUCCAAAAUUGGAAACUGAAGUGUCAAGGCAAAUGAUCUAGUGAUAACCUGUGAAAUUUUAUAUAAAUUAACUGAGGUAUAUUCAAAUUUACACAGAAAACAGAAGUGAGUUGAAAAUAAUCUAUAUAAUUUUUACUUGUGAGUGAUACGUCGAAUGGCUAGCUGUUAUACAAAAAUUUCUCCUUUAUCUCCUCACAUGUUAUACUUUACGUUGAACAGUAUAUUGUUCAUUGCAAAGAAAAUUUCCAAAUUAGGAGAGAUGGGGUUUCAACAAAUAGAGCUAAAUAUGUUUUGGUACUAUAGCUAUUGCCGUAAAAUUGAUAUAAGCUGUAACCAAUAUCAGAUUCUAAUUCAGUCGAUUUAAUAUCCUGAUUUAUUGAUUGAAUGCUCUUGAAAAGAGUAAUUGAAUGCUCUGAACAGUAUGCUCUUGAAAAAGGACUGUUAUUCUGUGACUUCUAUCCUGUGUGAAGUAGUGAUUUGUUCCAUGUUUAUUCUUAUGUUUUGCAAAAUCGUGCACAAUCCAUGGCUAUACAUAUAUGUAUGUGUGCAUACAGAGUAAAAUACUUUGUAUCUUUGAGAAAGAAAUUUUGCCACAACUUCAUAACUCAAAACAUGCAAUAUUGAAGAGUUCAAAAAAUAGAAAAAGUAAUUUAUAAGAAUUCCGAAUUAUCUUUAUAGAAAGCCUUGAUAGAAGACAUGAGAAUACCAGUACAUUUAGGUUCUGCUUUAAAUACCUAUACGAUAACCGUCAUUUGAAUCAGUUCUCUCCAGGAAUUAACCCUGACGCACCCAAUUCUUCCUAUAACACCCCAUGAAUUAGAGGGAUUCAAUAAAGCCAAACAGUUGGGGCUUGGUAACACACAUGAUAUACAAAAAGGUUAUGAAACUGAAAAUUGGGCCGUUAGCCUAAGAAGAUAAGAAGAUUAUAAAUCCAUGGUCCUCCUUAGCGAAAUGUUCAACCAUAUGUGGUUCUACACAUAGUCUAAGUUGCUCAUAUACACAACUAUUUUGCAACAAACAGACAAUAAUGAGGUCUGUUUUUUUUAGUUAUGGCUAAUCCAAACUCAUUAUUAUGAUUAGUGAGAGAUCAAGAAUAACACCAGGCAAAGCUCAUCAAAAGCAAAUGCCCCUGCCCUCUUGUCCUCUUCACCACAAUUUCAAUAACUGAUACGGUAUAACUAUCAUAUGAAAAAUAAUAACAACAUGAAAACCCAUAAUGAAAGAAGAAUAACAACAUGAAAACCCAUAUGAAUCCAUAAUAAUAAUAAUAAUAAAUAAAUAAACCACAGCAAAGCUCAAGAUCAAUACUUAACUCUUAUAUCACGCAUGAAGACUGAAGCCUCCUUCACUUGGCUCACCAUGGCUUGAAAGAAAAAUUAAAGUACAUGGAGAUAACGUUGUCAUUAAGGUCCUUCAACAUUGAUAACCUCACCUUUGGUCAAUGUUGGUUGUUUGCACAGAACCAAUAUGCCGAGUAAGAACUACACCACCAGUAAUGGGACUAAUAAGCACAUUAGCCUGUCAAGCAAGAAUUUGUAAAAAUUAAGGCUGUUUGAAAGUAAAAUAAAUGUACUCAUGUAUAAUAAUUUCAUUAGACUGAAAUCAUAGCAUUCAUCCGAAAACCCACUACCCAGAUUCGUACCCUUCCUCCCCAAAUCAAAACCCAAUAAUCUCUCAUAUUGCCUUUCACGAUUUCCUGCAGAAGAGCAACCCAAACCCUUCACUCUCCAUUUGCAAGUCCAACAGACAAUCAUGAUCUGCCAUGUACAUUCCUGAAAACAAAAACAAAAGGCAAAAAAGGGCAAACCAAGCACAAACG